rnacentral:rRNA from 1 species
CAGUACCGCGGUAAUACGUAGGUCCCGAGCGUUGUCCGGAUUUAUUGGGCGUAAAGGGAGCGCAGGCGGUUUAGUAAGUCUGAAGUUAAAGGCUGUGGCUUAACCAUAGUACGCUUUGGAAACUGUUUAACUUGAGUGCAAGAGGGGAGAGUGGAAUUCCAUGUGUAGCGGUGAAAUGCGUAGAUAUAUGGAGGAACACCGGUGGCGAAAGCGGCCCUCUGGCUUGUAACUGACGCUGAGGCUCGAAAGCGUGGGGAGCAAACAGGAUUAGAUACCCCCGUAGUCCCUGUCUCUUAUACAC